CUUACUGAUUUACAUGAAAAAUCAGCAAUGGUACUGAAAGCCAAAAUUAUGGCCUCCAACACUUACAUUCCUCUAUAGAACAUGAGUAAUA